ACUGAUGAAAAAUUAACCUAGUACCGACGCAAAUCUGCAACACAUGUAUGUAGGAGAAAUCGUAUACAACCAAGAAAAACAUCAGCUUCCAGUGUGUUUAUUUCAGGAACAUGUGACCGGGACACACGGCCCUUGUCCCCCAGCCCGGCCUUGUUGUGUCACCGCCAAGCGAGCUGAUGGCUUGCAGCCUCUCUGCUGCUGGCACCAAGUCAAAAAAGGCUGAUAAGCACUUUUUUUUUCCAUUUCAUGGGCGGGAAGUGGGAAGAGGAGGAAAAACAGCUGCCCCGCUUUGUACGAAACAGACACCGAGUUGGUUCCUCCAAAAUAAGAGCUGGUGUAAAGGCAACUUGAAUAUAUUUUCUAUGAUUAUCCUUGCUGUUAUUACACACUAGCUCCCCCCUGUUGUCCUUCAGCCCCCCCUUUCUCUCUUGCUCCUCUUCCCUCGAGCUCCCUGCCACCUCAGCCACCAGCGUUUGGCUUUUUCCACUCUUGUGGCACAUUACUGUAACGCUAUUGUGCGACAACCGCCUGCUUCUUUUCGGCUAGGGUAAAAAAAAACAAAAAAAAACAAAAACAAAAAAAACAGUAGAGCUUGUAGUGUGAAUGUCUCGGUCAGUAAGGGGGGACGACGCAUCUCAGCAGAGAGACAAGCAAAUAAGUAAAAUCCUGAUCUUUCUAAAUAAGGAUGUCAAGCACAUGUUCUCCACUUCAUAAAGUGUGUACGUGGCACGAUGAGCACAAAAUGGCUCAACUGGGGCGUGAGCAGCAUCACCAAACUGUACCACGUGAUCAAAAAAAGCUCAGCUCACCUCACGUUGUCUGGCAGGCUGCAGAAAAGUGAGGAAGCAAAUACGAGGAGAAGCAACUGAAGGGUUCUGCUGAGCAAGAGCAGGCAGCCAGUAUGCGGACCUGAUGGGUGUUCGGACCUCAGAGUGCGGGUCCACCUCUCCGAAGAGGGACGCGCCCUGGCUCCAACUACUGCUGCCAACCAGACAGCAGCCCAAUGUAUUGUCCUCCAUCAGGACUAAAGCUGCAACGUAAAAAUAAAUAUUAAGCAACCAUCAGUGUGCCGUAAUAUGAUUUUAUGUGAAAACUGCAUUUUGGAAAAAAAAUCUGAUUCCACAUAUUGACCACAUGUCUAUCAAUGUUUCUUAUGUUAACAGCAAAAUAACUGCACACCGUGAUGAAGCUAUACAAUAUAGAGUCAAUUUAACUUCUGGAUCAUUUCGAUUUUCUUUUCGGUUGUGCCACAAAUCUUGUGUGUAUAGUUGACGUCCUAAUUUGAAUCAUUGCAAAGCACCUUCUGAGUUUUGCAUGUACAUGCCCGAAUUCUUUCACGAAUUAUGUUGUUUUCACUCAGAAAUGACACAAUAUUUUUUAAAAAAUGUGUGAGGGUUAGGGGGGUCUGGAUGCUGGUGAAAAGAGGCUGCAAUGAGUACAACAUCUAGGUAAGAAUCUAAUUAUAAUAGCUACCAUUUCAUUUGGCUUAAUCAUAUUAGAGCUCUUGAGAUAUCAAAAGGCAUUGAAUUGAGGAUGAAUAGUUUGAAAUCAUCAACAAUGCAGAGAUAAUUGACCCAUCUCAAGGCUCUUAGGUGAUGCCUGGUAGGAAAAUUAAAUAUCAGGUACAAAUUGUGGUUCAAGUGCAUCCAUUUUAAUAUCCCAAAAUAUGUUGGUUAGGCUUUUUAAGUAAAAGCUGCAUAAUUACAGGUUUGUCCCGAGUAGUCAUUUUGUUCAUUUGAGUAUUUCUCUUAUUUUUACUGGCAUAUUGCAGAAGUGAACGUUUGAGUUGUGUUGCAGCACGAACUUAGGACAGUAUUCUUGCACCACUUACGUGAGCACAAGCAUUUUUACUUUUUUAACAUCCGAAUAUUUUAUUUACAAAUAAUGGAAUACACAAUCCAUGUUCAACUUUUAAACAACUUUAGGCUGUCUUCAGAGGUGCAACAAUUGAUGUCUUCAAAUUAUCAAACAAGUGACAAGUAUUUUGUUAACUUUUUAGAGCCAUUUAAUAAUUGUGUACAAUUUCAGAUUUGAUUUCUUGGAUUCUCAGUUUAAGCAGACAUAUCUUUUUUGUGUUCAAUCAAAUUUAGAUAACAUCUCUCACUUUGGAAAACAAUAUUUUUGCUGAUUUUCUAAUAUGUUUCAGUAAAAAACCGGUAACCAUUGAAUCAUAUUUAAAAAAAAAAAAAAAAAAAAUGUAUCUACUAGAAAAACCCUUAUUUAGUGCAGUAACAUGAAUAACCUGUAACUGACAUGUAGCCGAACCUGAAACAGAAGUGUGUAUCAUAUUCUGAGCCCUUCACACUUAUCAGGACCCAAGAAAUAACUGUUUCAAAAAGUUUUGGUAGAAUCAUGAAUUUUAAAAAAUAUUUAAUAGCUACAGUCUUUUGUGUUAACAGCUAUAUUUCAUAAACAGUAAAACUUCCCUCAUGGUGCAUUCAUUCAACCAAAAUAUAACUCAGCAAUUUUAAUUGUUGCUUUCUUUGCUAUUAUUAAACAAUUUACAGUUAUUCAACAUCAUUGUCAUAAUUCCAAUUUUGAAGUUAACGCAAAUCUAUAACAUUAUAGAGGAGUGACGAUGUAGAAAAUUUGUUUUUAUGUUAACACUGCAAGAAAGGGUUUUUUGGGAGUUUUUUUGUUUUCGGGUUAGACUGAGUCUUAUGGACAUUUUUAAUUUUGCUUUUGAAAAAGGGUAAGACAGUUGUGUGUGUGUGUUUUUUUUUUUUGUUUUUUUUUAAAGAUGAUUGAAUAAAAAUACUUUUAUUGUAAAGGGAUGAUAGAUGGUUCUAAACUCCAACUUUAAAUUAUUUUCACAGGAUUCCGUGCACUAAUUGUGCCUACUUUCAAACAUUCUGUCCGCUUAUCUUCGCCAUCUUCAUGAAAAUAGAGAAUGUGGUAGAGAACGUGGCCUUGGGAGUUCACACUGUGCUGGCUGUGGACGAGGAGACAUAAGGCUGACGCUGACUCUGCACUUUUAAGGCAAGCGCCCUUUCACUCAACGGCGCCAGCCGGGUACACAACCUUUCUCGUCUCUAGAACACACCUUCUUAUUAAUGUGGGUCAUUUUCGUAUGCCAAAAUGGCACUGGCCCAUUUUGCGAAGUUAUAAAGUCUGAUUUUGGCACUCCACUAGGCACCAUGUGGAUUCAUUAUCAUCUUCACACCUGCUACACUAAAAAAGUGCUGCCAAAGUGUAUUAUUGUACUUUUACGUGGUGGAACAAUACAAUAAUAAUAUUUAUUUUGUAUAGAUCAACUCAUGUAAAACCUAGCUGGCGUACCUUUUUAAUUAUCGGCAGAUAAUUACAAAAUUUAAUAAUGAUUUUAAAUUUGGCAUCUUGUGAUCAACAUUAUGAUUCAUAACAACUGAUUAAUAUGCAGAACCAAAUGCUGCGUGUAUGCAAAAUUGUACAUAGUAAAGCAUCCUGAGGGCACAAGAAAAUAAUGUGAGUUACCGUAUUUUUCGGACUAUAAGUCGCACCUGAGUAUAAGUCGCAUUUUUGGGGGAAAUGUACAUGAUAAAAUCCAACAUAUAGAACAGAUAUGUCAUCUUGAAAGGCAAUUUAAAAUAAAAAUACAAUAGAGAAAACAUGCUGAAUAAAUGUACAGUAUGAUAAUGUUACAUGAUGCAUGAACAAAGAAAUGCGAACGUGGCCAGUAUGUUAACGAGGGGUGCAACGGUUCAGUUAGCCCACGGUUCGGUUUGAACCUCGGUUUUGGGAUCACGGUUUCGGUUCAGUUUCGGUUAGCGUUUUGAAUGUUUUUUUUUUUAAACUGCCUUUAUUUUGCUUUUAGGAAAAUAAAAAAACACACUUAAAAUGUAAACAUUUUCGACUGUUAAAAUGCCUCUUAGCUCUUUGGCUAGUGUGGUGACUGACUAUUGAAAUACACAGUAGUAAAAAAGUUACUUGGCAAAGUAACUGGUGUUACAUUUAAUGUUUUUCGUUUUUCAUUUAAAAAAAAAAAAAAAAAAAAAACAGUAACCUUUGCUAUGUUUGGAGGUCAUUUAAUGUUGUGAAUCAACCGUUAAAGUUGAUAAAAUUACUCCCGUUUUUGCAUUAGUUCCCUUCCGUCUACUUUCGACAUGUGAACAUUUUAAAACUGUUUCAUCCUUUAAAGAUAGACUCAAGUCAAGAUUUUGCCGAUUUAGGAGUAUUUUGGUUAAAAAGUUACUCAGGUUCGCUAGGAAGGUUCACUACAACACAGCCUUUCUGAGACGUUUACUGCUCUAAAAUGGCAGCUGUUUACCAACGCUACCGAGUCUGUCAUUUUGCAUGUAGUUCUAGAUGCAUGAGAUAUGUAGGCGUAGAUUGUAGGCUGUCGGCUACAGUCAGGAAAUACUGGAGCCGCCUAGCAUUGAAAGCUUUUUACACACAUUGUAUAUUAACCCUUGAGAGUCGAAGGACGCGCCGGCGCGUCCUCAGCACACGUCGUAUUUGAAGCGCCCUCACGUUUUAAUUACGUCACCCACAUGCCGUUGGUUUGUCUCGUUUUAAAGUGCGGAAGUUGCGGUUUACUCUCGUUAUUAUUUGAAGUCAAUCGACCACCUAAAACGUGAGAUAUUGUCAUUUAAGUUUUAUAGUUUUAUUGUCCUCUCAAAAAAACAUUUGUUUAUGUCUAUAUUUCCAUCAUUUCUUGUCCUUUUUCAAAACGGAAACUCCAUGAAAAAAACACAAAUCAAACGAACCCCUUCGAAGUCACAGUGGAAGCACAAAAUGCGUUUUUUUUUAAAUAAAUAUAACUGCCGUGCGAGGUUCCACCGAACGAGAGGGACGAGUGUUCUGAAGCAGUGUGGCGGCGAGCGACGGCCGUUUGGAUCGAGCAGCGACUUUGUGUGACUUUGAGAUGAACGGAAAACUAAAUUUAGCGCAAGCAAUUGUGCUUUUUGAUCAACUUGAGCAAGAGGAUGGUCCAAAUUCGUCAUCAUCGUCUUCUUCGGAAGAGUCCUCGACUGAAGAUAGUGACGGAUUUGAACACGUGGGUGACGCCAUCGACGAGCAGAGGUAAGCAAACUCACUUUUUUUUUUUUUUUUUUGUGCUGAGAAAGUUUCUUUUGAUAUUGCAAGACAAAGUUAAUUUUGAUGCAAUAUAAGUGUGUGUUUGUGUAUAUAAUAAUAAAAUUUGCAUAUCAGAUCAAAGUCGUACGUGCACUGUGUGUAUCCAAGGCAGGAAUUUAUAAUUGUGGUGAUCUUCUUUCUAUAUGAAGAUUAGGGAUGUAGCACAUAUUCAGCUAUGGUAUUCUUUCUAUUGUCAUACAUAUAGAUUUCCAUUAUUAUUUAUUGCUGUAUAUAUUUUUAUUUUAUACUUUAUUAUUUUCAUAAAUACUGACUUUUUUUCAUGUACAUUUAUAGUGACAAUGAAAGUAAAAUGAAAUGAAAAUGGAAGGGCGGAAGGGUGGAAAAAGGACCGACACCCCAUGGAAGUGUGGGCUGUGCGAUGUCGCCCUGUGUCGAAUUCCAGGACGAAACUGCUUUUCGGAGUGGCAUGCCUGAAAAAAAUUUAACUUGUUUAUUGUAAAUAUUUUUGAAAAUACUUUUUUCCCCCAAUGUUAUAUAUACAUAUAUAUAUAUUUUUUUUUUCCCCACAAUCAGUCUUCUCAGUUUGUGUAUAUAAAUGUGUGUUCAAGAAACUUUUUGUGUUAGAUGGUAUAUAUUUUUUCACUGUUCGGUCUGCUGUAUAUAACCUGUUUUGACUAGAGCAUGUAUAAAGGCAAAAAAACGCCUAUGGCUAUACCUGUUGUUUAUGUUGAAUUGUCAAAUAUAAGAUUAUUUAUUCUAAAUUUUUUGGGUUGAAUUUUCAUCCUAACAUGUUGAAUAAAUAUUACAAAGUUUCAAAACGGUUCGUUACGCAUGUUUGGUUGUCAAUUGGACAUCAAGAUUAAAAAUUUUGACAAAACGAUUUUGGAAUUUUUGGUCUUUUUGGGCCCAAAAUGAUUAUUUAUAAUUGGUCAGUGAAGGAAACAACAGUUUGGACAUGAAGUUCAAGGUGUCACAAAAAAAGGCACCAAACCAGGCCAUCGUAAACAACUGUUUCUUUGAAAUAUAAAGGCAACUUCAAAGGCAUGCAAAAUCAGACAAAAUAGGCCCAGACCUUAAAGGGUUAAAACACAAAACAUGCCAAUAAAUUUACAAACAUUUCCAGCUUCCCUGCUAACAUUGAAUGCAAAACACUGCAAUAAUACAUACAGACAGGUAACCUAAUGCAAUCUGUCAAUCUGUAAUAUACAUAUAUAUAUGGCGAGAAACAGACACGGCUGAAAAUGCAGUUUCUGCUCUUGCACCCCUAUUUAAAAUAAACUGCUGUACUUUAAGCCAAAAGAACUGUUGUGUUUGAUAGAACAAUAGGUCUAUAUGCUGCCAUAGCAGUUUCAUGGCGCAUUAAGCCCCCAAACUAUUCUUAAUUUGUCCAUUUUACCCUCGAGACCCCCGUUUACAGACACCACGCAACCGCUUUUGUUUCAAUUCAGCUAUAAAAAGUAUUAUAUUAUUCGAAAUGUCUAUCAUUUUUAGCUUAGAAUAAUUAAUUGAUGUUUAAUAUCUACUUUAAAAAAAAAACGACUUUAAAAAAUUAUUCACUCGCAUAUCGUAAACUUUAAAAAAAAAUUACAUCACAAUGAAAUAAAUAGUGUUUGUAAAUAGGUGACGGAUAUUUACCUCAAAACGAUCGCUUAGUUCAAUUUUUUUUUUUUGUUACUGUCGCAUUUCCCCUUGUUAUUUUAGAUGAUAUAUAAUCGAUCCAAACAAAUAUUGGAAAAAAAAAAACAUUUAAAAAGGGUAAAUCUUAACCACUCGAUGUCUACGAUUUCUGAAUCGCGACCCUUGUCAUAUUACCGUGUUUCACCCAUAAAAUCCCCAAAAAGUCCGGCUGUGGCCAUUCACAGCUGUGUCUUGACACUGGGUGAUACAUGCUGCACAGAGUUUUUGGAUCGAAAAAAGGUAAGUACUAGGGUUGUUCCGAUCAUGUUUUUUUUGCUCCCUAUCCGAUCCCCAUCGUUUUAGUUUGAGUAUCUGCCGAUCCCGAUCCGAUUUUUUUUUUGCUCCCGAUUCAAUUCCAAUCAUUCCCAAUAAUUUUCCCCGAUCAUAUACAGUACAUUUUGGCAGUGCAUUAAGAAAAAAAAUGAAUAAAACUCGGACGAAUAUAUACUUUCAACAUACAGUACAUAAGUACUGUAUUUGUUUAUUAUGACAAUAAAUCCUCAAGAUGGCAUUUACAUUAUUAUAACAUUCUUUCUGUGAGAGGGAUCAAGGGAUAGAAAGACUUGUGACUUUGUAUAUUGUGACUAAAUAUUGCCAUCUAGUGUAUUUGUUGAGAUUUCAGUAAAUGAUACUGUAGCCAUGCUCAAAUGCAUGAUGGGAAGUGGAACCAUGACUGUGCGUAGUGCUACCAAUUGAUAUAUCUUCUCUGCGUUGGGACAUAACAUAAGGUGUUAAGAAUAAGAUCAAUUGCUACCUUGCUUCCCCACUUUGCUUCCCAUGAUAUUUCUAAUCAUAGGGAGAGGGAUUGUAAGGCUUUAGCCAAUUAAAAAAAGGCUCCAAAGGCUGCCAAAAUUCACUUUACUCAUUUUACGCUGCCUUUUAUCUCUCUAUAUAGGUAAGACGGCGCCAUUACAGAUUGAGCGCGACAAUGCGUGGGUGGGUCGCGCUGCGCAUGCAUUAAUUGCGUUAAAUAUUUUAACGUGAUACAUUUUUUAAAAAAUGUAAUUACCGCCGUUAUCGGGAUAAAUUUGAUAACCCUACCUUAAGCCUAAACUAAAGACUCUGGAUGAGUGCAACAUUAUGUUUGUAACGUUAAAUACAAUUGGAAAACGAUUUAAUUAAAAAAGAAUAUAUAUAUAUAUGUAUAUAUAUAUAUAAAAAAGGCAUGGCCGAUAUUUUUUUGCCGAUUCCGAUACUUUGAAAAUGACGUGAUCCGGACCCGAUCGAUCUACGCGAUAAUAUCUCGUUAAAAUCAUGGUGUCUCUGAUUAUGCUCGCUCAUGCUCUCACCUCGAGUUAGGGUUUAGGGGUUAUUUUUUUUAGGGGUUUAAUUUCUUACUUAUAUUUUUAAAUGCCCUCCUGUUCAAAAGUUUUAUUCCCCCCAAAAUUGAGAAUUUAGGCUUUCCAAUGAUUUAUCACACAUGCAUAUAGGUCAAGUUUGAAAUUUGGCCAAAUUGGGGGUCUCAGAGCGGAACUUUAAGUCACAUGAGUGUUUUCUGCCAUAUAUAUUCCAUUGUGAUUUUUUCCCUCUACUAUUUUCUAUAUUUUUCUAUCCAAUUUUAGUAUGCAGCACCAAAAUGCAUCACACUGCCCCUAAGAGGCCAAGGCUUACAAAGCAGGAAUUUUAUUGUUUGGUAUUGCUAAUAUUUUAAUGUUGCUAAUAUUCUAAUGUUUUAGUAAUCAGUCAUUUUAGGUUUUCUUCUACUUAUAGGUAAGAUUAGAAUUUUUGUCCAAUAAAUCUGAGUUAAAAAGUAUGAAAUCACUCAAUAAUCAUGUUAAAAUAUCGCAAUUCCAACAAAAUAUCCUGAUUAUAGGUUUUCCCAUGACCUCCCAGCUCUACUAUUAAUACUUAACUACUGUACGGACUUGUGAUUUGGAGCACGAGGGUCACAGUUUCUGAGUAUAGCAGUAGUUGGGAGGGAUGAGAGUCUGCAUCCUGACUAGGGGGCCCUUGAGCAAGGUAGAUAUUUGGAGCACGAGGGUCACAGUUUCUGAGUAUAGCAGUAGUUGGGAGGGAUGAGAGUCUGCAUCCUGACUAGGGGGCCCUUGAGCAAGGUAGACUCCUCUUGGGAUCCAUCGACGUAAUCAUAUCAACCUCAAGUAUGAUUUGUCUUUAACUGCUAGCUAAACCAGUAGUGCAUCAUUUACAUUGCCUAAUACAAAAAUUCAUUUUUUUUUUUAAAUUUGAAUUCUGCCCUUCUGCAAUUUCCCACUCAUUUCUCGAGUUUAUCAUUUCUGUUGUCUUUCUUGUUUGGUUCAAUAAGGAAAAUAAAAAUGACUAACAUAUAUUUGACGUAAAAUACUAUGAAAUAUUUAAUUUGUUAGUACUAUAACUAAAAACUUUAAUUGUAUUUCUAUACAUAUGCUAUUUAUAGAUUAUGCAUUAUUUUUCAUUUAUAAAAUGGAUGCAAGGAAAUUUCAUUUACACACUUUCUUGGCAAUUACCCUGAUUUGGAGUGAGCGAACAGAACAGCAGCAGCUCUCUUCAGUGCUAUCAAAUCGCUCUAUAAUGGGGCUGGUGAGGGAGGCAGGAUGCACUGUUGAGCGUAUUGGGGGGGUAUUUGUUUGAUAAACUGGCACACAACCAAGCGCUAAUGCCCCUUAAAUGUCAGCCACUAUGUAUUGGGACUAGAGAAGAGAGCACAUUCAUAUUUUAGUGAGGCGAGCGGGUGUACCCAGGGACACAAGGAUGAGGAAUGGGGGGGUGAAGUGAGGCUGCACACGUGAAGUAAAAAAUUGGGAAUAGCUGUAAAACUUUUUUUGUAAAAUGGAAAAAAGAAUCAAAGUUGGCUGUCUGACUGCGUCUAUCACUCGACACACUGGU